rnacentral:ribozyme from 1 species
GAGAGCAACAACUCUCUUCUUAAUCUAACCAACGAAGGUCGCAAGUCCUUGUGUAAUAGAGAGCGAGAA